rnacentral:lncRNA from 1 species
GUCAUGAAAAGCUCAUAUACCUGUGCACCUGAGCCUCAGGUAUUCCCAAGGGAAGGGCAGGGAAGAGAGGACCUGCACCAGACGCUUACACUCUAACGGCUGACGGCCCCGCCGGGCACUCAAAAGCCAGGUCUAACUGAAUUAUUCUUGACCCUGGACCCUGCUCAAAUCACUCACUCCCAGCAUUAUCCCCUCUGCAAGCUUUCAGCUCAAUGGUCUGCUCCUGCCACUCCUCUCUCCACCCUCACCUAACUGAAAGGGACACCGGCCACUGCCCACGGUUCUGAACCUGCCCAAGGACAAGGCUGGCCCGGGGACUUCUACCCAGCCCAUCCCAGAACUUCUGAAGGAGAUGAUUUUUAUUUUCUGUCUUGGUAAAAAGGAAUGUGGUUUCUUUUACUGCUGCAGAACCAAGAUCCAUGACUUUGGCUUAACUAUUUAUUUACUUGGUCUCGUGUUCUUCCUGUCAAUCUGCCACAUUUACCACCUCUGCCAUUUGACUCUGAAAAACUGGAAAUCCCAUAGCCCCACAGGCUCCUAGUGAUUCUAAACACAACCUCCUGGAAGAUCCCAGUCGGGGUAUCGGAGAGCACAUCUAUUCUCAUGUACUCACUUGGCAAAUAGGAACAAGGGGUCCGGGAUAGAAAGGCACCAAGAUCAGAGCAAAUGAGAGCAAAUCUGAGGUUGGCAUCCUGCUGUCCUAACUGCUCAUCCAUGUCAUUCUCCAUCACCUCCCACUUCUCUGGGGGUCAUGGAAUCUCCUUUCAGGUCUUUUUCUAGGUGGACCACAAGCAACGCCGUUAUUUCCAGCUCACUGUACCACUCACCAUACUGUUUCUGCGUGGCUUCUUCCCCCACAAGGAGGUGUGGCCUCUGUCCCCAGAUGACAGAUGAGACAACUGGCCUCAGCAAGCAAAGACCAGAGACUGAGCCCCAAGAGGCCCUUCUCCAACACUCCUGGAGAGAAGACAGAAGGAGAAAUGGAUGGACAGGAGCUGAAGACAAAGCAGCCCUUCAUGGCUCAGACUUCUCACAAAAGAAGGCCUCUCAAUAGGCUGUGAAGACAGGGGAUAAGGGAAGCCGAUCAUUGGCACCAUGAGGCAUUUAAAUCAAAUCCAGGAAGAACUGCCAUAAGACGGCACUGGAAUGGGGAGCCAGCGGGUGUGAGGCUGCAUCAUGCAGCCUCUCAGCUGGGCACUUUGGCCCUUUGGCCACUGGAGCCAGCUCUGAUGGUCACCUGGAGGUGACAGGGCUCAGGGAGGUGUCCUUGAAGUGGGACAGGGAUGGCUGAGUCCAGCAUUCCCAUGCUCUGAAAUGAGCUUUGCAGGCAAAGCUUGCAGCGGGGUGGGGGAGAGCCCCAGGAGAAGGAUUCUCACAAUUUUCCAUACCCACAUCUGCUUCAUUGACACAUCCAGCUCCUCUUUACAGCAGGCAUAUUUCAAAGGCCUGGUUCCAUUUGCAUUUUUAAAACCCUGCUGAUGGCCUAGGAAAAUCACAUCCUUCCCAUGUUCUCAGGUACCACAUUCCCAACUCCACCCCCGACUCCAUGGGCCUCUGGACCCUCCCUUUGAAGCAGAUCCCUUACCAAGGGACCCCUCUGGUCAUUUGGAGGUCCCUAGAGGCUAGGGGGGGCUCUCAGGAGGGUGUGGCCAAGAUGGCCACAGCUAUGGGCAGCUGGCAGCAGGAAGGUGAUCAGAGCCCUGAUCAAAUCCACUAAAAAGACUUCCCGGGGGAGUGGGGCUGGGUCCCCGGGGGUGGGCUGAUGGUGGUACAGCAUCAUGGGGCCACAAAUGGGGUGUCCCGUGGAGUCACGAGACUACAAAGAACAUCAUGAGUGCCUUGGACAACUUGGAGGAGGCUUCUGGAAGCAACCUGAAAGCACACUGAAAAGAAUAAGCCAUUCACCCAGCGAAGCCAACCCUUUGCUCUCAGCUGGGCUUGGGAACACAGUUUGUGUCUCCCCAUUGCUCUCUUAAUAAUAAAGCUUUUCCUUGUUCUCCUUCUUCCCACCCUCCCUCAUGGCCCCUU